rnacentral:rRNA from 1 species
CAUGCAGGCGGUCGGGCAAGUAGGAUGUGAAAGCCCCGGGCUCAACCUGGGAACUGCAUUCUAAACUGUCCGACUAGAGUAUUGCAGGGGGGAGACGGAAUUCCAGGUGUAGCGGUGGAAUGCGUAGAUAUCUGGAAGAACACCAAAGGCGAAGGCAGUCUCCUGGGCAAAUACUGACGCUCAUAUGCGAAAGCGUGGGUAGCAAACA